rnacentral:lncRNA from 7 species
CAUGUGCCCAGCAGUCCUGAACUGUCCUUGUCUUUUGCAUGGAAAGCAGCUACCGAGGUAUGAGGAGGAUUUGUUGGCUGCUGGUGGCAAAUGUGAGCGUACCUUGAGGCUGCACUGUUCAUGCUCAUGUCUCACCUGGUUUCAUUGCCACGUCUCACAGGUGCAAGGUAAUCACACUCCACUGCUCCAAAAGUGACGCCUCCUAUUUAUUUCCAUGGGAACAACAACCACUACAAGGAGCGCAAUAACACUGUUUGACUGAGCAGUUCUCAGCUCCAAAAUGCUAUUUUUCAACACAGUCACCACCAUCAGCUCUGUAUUUUUGCCAGCGAUGAACAAGAGCCUGUGUGCCACGCCUGAAAAUAUCUGCACCAGUGGAGUUGCCUCGCUGCCUCUCUUGCCACUGCUGAAACGCACCACCCGCCACCUCACCGUGCGCACACCCACGGACUGGUCUCCGUAGGCGUUCAGCAAGCAUCGAUGACCAUCACUGGGUGCCUUUUUUCUGCGCAGAGGAAUUCACUUUCACACUUCUGCUUCAUCUGCACUUCCAUGUCAGACACGGUUCUGUCAGAUUGCCCAUCUGCUGUUAUCUGUCACACAGCAACAAAACGUAGUGGGAUAUUGGUGGGAAGGUUCAACCUCUACUGCCACACCGCCAACAUGUGCCUCUGGUGUUGUGGGCCAACAGCAUAAAAUAGGAGGCAUUAUUUUUGGAGCAGCCAUUGCUGUAGGAAAAGAGAAGCCUCUGAAGACCUUGUGAAAAGACUAAUGGAGAUUUAAAUAUGACAUUCUGCACCUCUUGGGAAAAAAAAGAAUGUUGAAAUGAGCAGCCAGCAGAAGAUAUCUUCUCGUACAACAUCCUGACACCUGUACUUGUGUUAUGAGAGAGAGAGGAGCAAAAGGCAGCAGUGACUCAUCCAGUCAGCAUGGAUGCCAGACUUCUGCAAUGCACUCAGAGAGAAGGCCUUUGCUUUCUGCAGUUUCCAUGUGCAAAGAGCUAUUUUUUCUUCCUAUUAUUAGUUUUCUCCACCAAAAGAAGAUAUUGAAAGGAUCUGUGAACUGAAGACAGCCAGAAGACAGAAGCUGAAUUUGAAUGGUUUAGUGCUAAAUGCAACCUGAGAGGUGUACGUCUUCCACUGGGGCACUGAGGUCUAUCUUCAAUAAAUUCUGUCUGAGUUUUGGUUCCCUACCAUGUUCAUGCAUCAUGCCAUCUGCACCAUGAAACAGAAGUCAUUUUGUCUGCAUAGUAACAGACAAAGUACUGACUACUAGCGUUAAAACCAAGGUGUUCCUU